GAUGAACGCUGGCUACAGGCUUAACACAUGCAAGUCGAGGGGAAACGACGGGGAAGCUUGCUUCCCCGGGCGUCGACCGGCGCACGGGUGAGUAACGCGUAUCCAACCUGCCUCUGACUGAGGGAUAACCCGUCGAAAGUCGGCCUAAUACCUCAUGGCAUCGUCUGCGGGCAUCCAACGACGAUUAAAGAUUUCAUCGGUCAGGGAUGGGGAUGCGUCUGAUUAGCUUGUUGGCGGGGUAACGGCCCACCAAGGCUACGAUCAGUAGGGGUUCUGAGAGGAAGGUCCCCCACAUUGGAACUGAGACACGGUCCAAACUCCUACGGGAGGCAGCAGUGAGGAAUAUUGGUCAAUGGGCGAGAGCCUGAACCAGCCAAGUAGCGUGCAGGAAGACGGCCCUAUGGGUUGUAAACUGCUUUUAUGCGGGGAUAAAGUGAGGGACGUGUCCUUCAUUGCAGGUACCGCAUGAAUAAGGACCGGCUAAUUCCGUGCCAGCAGCCGCGGUAAUACGGAAGGUCCGGACGUUAUCCGGAUUUAUUGGGUUUAAAGGGAGCGUAGGCCGUGGAUUAAGCGUGUUGUGAAAUGCAGGUGCUCAACGUCUGCACUGCAGCGCGAACUGGUCCACUAGAGUGUGCGCAACGCAGGCGGAAUUCGUCGUGUAGCGGUGAAAUGCUUAGAUAUGACGAAGAACUCCGAUUGCGAAGGCAGCUUGCGGGAGCACAACUGACGCUGAAGCUCGAAAGUGCGGGUAUCGAACAGG
rnacentral:rRNA from 1 species